UUAUCAUGGACGCUGUGAAAACUUGUAAUAAUUUAAGCUAGAGUUCACAAAAAAUAUGCUAGUCAGAGGUACUCAUAAGAUAACUAUAUUUUCUCUUUAUUCAACAGCUGUUACUGGAGCACUUGGAGUGCCUUGUGUCACGUCAUGAAAGGUCACUAAGAAUGACAGUGGUGAAGCGGCAAGCCCAGUCUCCCUCAGGAGUGUCCAGUGAAGUGGAGGUCCUCAAGGCAUUGAAAUCCUUGUUUGAACACCACAAGGCCUUGGAUGAAAAGAUUAUUAAGAAGAAGCUGUAUCCCAUUUUCAUUUUGGUUGUAAGAGACAAGAACUAUGAAAACUUUGAAGAAGAUAAAAACACAGGUAAGGGAGCGACUGAGGGUUUCUUUAGAGAGAGUCUCUGCACUGGAAGAGGAACUAGCUUCAGCUAAUCAGGAGGUAACACACCGAACUUGCCUCUUCGGAGGUGCACUAUUGCUCACAUGCUGGCCCUUGCAUUACACGUUGCUUUUGUUAAUUCUGUCACAAAAUCAAUUACUUUCUUUCUGUCUGUGCUGCUGAAUGACACUCAUGGAAAUGAGUUGCCAGAGGCCUCUGUUCUGGUUUCUGCCCGUCCAAAUCUGUCACCAGGAAACCAAAGAAAAGCCACCAAGGGUUAGGGAGAUGGCUAUUACAAAAACAAAACAAAACAAACAAACAAACAAACAAAAAACAGUCCGAGAAAUAAGUAAAACACAAGCCUGAAACUGGGAUUUCUGUCAAGUUCCUCUUAAACUUUGAAAUGCUAGAAAUGAAAUAAAUACCCCCGGAUGGGCGCAUGCAUCCAUUUCCCCUCCAACUUCACCCUAUUUUGUUUCUGACAGUAUUGUGCCCAUGUCUAGCGUUUAUUAGCAUCUUUGAGAAGAUCAAAGACAUCAUGUAAAGUCAUGGAUUAAGAUUUAAAGAACUGGGACCCUAUCAGGCCCCGACCUCUUCAGACCUUGUGCAUGCUGCCACAGCCCCUGUGAGUUCCGCUGUGUUUAGAAAGCCUUGUUUUCCUGGAGUUCUCCCAGAAGCUAUUUCCAAUUGAUAACUGCUUGCAAAUGAAAAGAUUAGUUUUCUCAGAUGGAGUCUCAUUGACUAUACAAAUUCUUAGGGCCGAGACCCAUGCCCAACAGUAGAUGGCCAACACAAAAUGAACUAAAUGGUAUUUUGGAAGGGACUUUUGUUUCAUAAUGCUUUUUCUAGGCAUUUCUUUUUCUUUUUCUUUUCUAACCCAAUAGGUUGUUUGCUCAUAUGUUUACUAUUUUGUGUCUUUAUGAGAGUUCCCUGUGAGUAACUCUUAGCCUUUAUAUAUUUCUUGUGUUUUUUUCCUUGCCCCUUUGCUUUUUUGUACAUUUGUUUGUUGUUUAUUUUUUUAUUUCUUGUCUUUUUAUUUUUUAGAUGCUGUUUUAGGUUUGUUUUGUUUUGAAGAGAGAAAGCCAGAAAGAAUAAAAAUUUGAAUGGGUAGGGAGAUGGGGAGGCUCUGGGGGGAACUGUGGGAGGGGCAACCAUUGCAGAGUAAAUUGUAUGAAAAAACUACUUUCAAUAAUAAAAAAGAAC
ensembl:lincRNA